rnacentral:lncRNA from 1 species
CACUCUGUAUCCAGCCAUCCUCAUGUAUAAAGAGGAGGAAAGGAGAGGCACUUCUGUUACUACCGACCAGUUACUAGGUGUGACAUUGUGCAGGUCACUGCACACACUUAAAGCAACCAGAUGUAUAUCCAUAGUCAUCGGUGUUUUAUAGAACAUAAGAAUAGACUCACAGUCCAUUCCCCUCCUGCAAGACUACAUAUUCUAUCGUAAAGGAUGUGUCAAGGAAGAGCGUGUUGGAGUUCUGACUCUGGAGGUCCGCCAGCCAGAAAAUGGCCUCCAGCCUCCCAGUCUCUUCCUGCUCAUCAGCAUAACCAUCCUCCAUCCAUGAAUCCCCACUGCUCACUCAUUUUCUCUGCUAGUACUUAGUGAGCACCUCCUAUGACCCGGGGAUACAGCAGUAAAUAAAACAGGCAAACACAUUGGAGAGAAAGAAAGCCUGGGAGGCUGAGGUCUCUGGAGCCCAACGCACACUUCAGCCCACUCUCACAGGCAUUCUCUCUGUCCACAAAAUAUCACCGAAGAGUCUUCUGUGAGUGCAGCAUGGUGUGAACACUGGGAGUACAAGGAGAAAUAAGACACAGUUGCUGUGCUGGAGAAGCUUGUGCCCAGUGGUGGUGAUACUGCCGGAGGUGAGACCACUAUGCCAGCACAGGAACAAAGACGGCAGGGGCACAGGGCAAUUCAGGGGUGCAGAUCUGGGGGCAUCCAAGAGGCUCCUAAGCCUCAGUAUAUAAACUGACAGGUCACAGCCUGCUCUAGGAAACACCUUCUUAAGGGUUGGAGUUAUCUUUGUGCAUCCCAUCCCCACCCCACCAAGCCGCCCUUGGCCCUGCCCUCAGGAGCUUCUGCUUGGCCUUGCUAAUUCCUCUCUUCUCCCUGAAGCUAGAGUGAGGUCCCUCUUGGCAGCCUUUGUAUCUAGAGAGAGCCGUCCAAUAGAAACAUAAGGUGAGCAACAUGCUUAAUUUUAAAAUUUCUAGUAGCUACAUUAAACAUUUUUAAGUGAAAUUAACUUUAAUAAUACAUUUACUUAACCCAAUAUAUCCAAAAGAUUAUCAUUUCAACAUGCAAUCCUAUUUUAAAAAUAACUAGUGAGGUACCUGACAAAAAAAAAUCCCUUUUCAUACUAAGUCCAGAAGAUCUUUGUGUAUUUUAUACUCAUAGGACAUCUGAGUUUGGAUGUUACCUUUUUAUUGGAAAUAUGGGAUCUGUACUUAGAUUUCACUGAAUUUACAUUGAAAAGGUAGGUUCACAUACCCAAGUUGUCUCACACGUACCUAAAUGUUUUCUGGUAACUGGAUGGAGUAUCAGUUUUUAUAUUUAUCUUUGCAUUAGCUAAAAAACAAAUUAAUAGUUCAGGUCCUCAGCCGCACACAGGCAGUUUUCUCCACGGUCCAAAUUGUUGCCCGAAUUCACCCAGACCCCGCUGUCCUCCGCUUUUUCAUGCAGACAUUCAAACAACUGCCUCCCUUCCUCCUGGCACCCCUCCUGGCACCCCCAUCCCAUCGCCAGCAGCCUCCAAACCAGUUUCCCUCCUGUCCUCAUCUCAGCCACCCAUGACUCACACACACAUCUGUCUCCCCUGGCCCACUUUUCACCUGGUCCUCAUAAUCUAUGCAUAAACAUUAACGUACCACAGGUCAAUCUGCAUACUGAUUACUUCUGCUCUGGUCAAAUUCUUGCUUUCAGGAUCAGGAGGCUUUCUCCCCACACCAAACUGGGCCUGAGGAAAUAGUGUCUUGUCUUCCUGUCACCCCUCCCGUAGUUGCAUGUCUAAUGAGACAAGGGGUGUCUCAGGUGAAGCAGGACAGGGAGGAUGCCAGCACUUGGGUGGUAGAGGUUUGAGGAGUGCCUGUUGGGGGAUGUGUUGGGGAAGGAGGACUUUUCACAUAUGGCUCAUUGUGUCGGGAUGAUUUCGUUGUUAAAUAAGCACCUACAGGAUGAUUUCACAUUCCAUACUUCUAAGUUUUUAUAAUUUAAAUUCUUUCCGCCAGGCUGGGUUUUUUUUUUUUUUCCAAACUUUAAAUCUGUGGCUAGAAUUGGUUUGAUUUACCUAAUCCUGCCCCUGAGAUUUAGCCCCAUCCCUGAGAGCCCCCUCAGAGCCACCCACAGCCAGGACACCUCUGCUGGCCUCCCCUUCCCCAGCCUUCCAACUUGUGGCAGGCCCCCGGCUCUGGCCUCCCCCUAUAUGGGAAUGAGCCAGCUGCACCGCUGCUGACAGUGGCUGGGAUAAUCCUCCCUGAGCUGUUCCAAGGAUUAGUCCUGCUGCCCUGUGCCCAGCUCCCACACAACGGGGUUUCGGGGCUGUGGACCCUGUGCCAGGAAAGGAAGGGCGCAGCUCCUGCAAUGCGGAGCAGCCAGGGCAGUGGGCACCAGGCUUUAGCCUCCCUUUCUCACCCUACAGAGGGCAGGCCCUUCAGCUCCAUUCUCCUCCAAGGCUGCAGAGGGGGCAGGAAUUGGGGGUGACAGGAGAGCUGUAAGGUCUCCAGUGGGUCAUUCUGGGCCCAGAGAUGGGUGCUGAAGCUCCCACGCCUGCCUGUGAAAAUGGAGUCCUCUCUCACCUGGGAGAGCCAGGUGCUGCCCCGAGAAGGAUGCAUUUAUGGCUUCAUGAAGUCUUUCCUGACCCCCGAUGCUGCUGACUAUAGGUAAGUCUGAGCAAAUCUGGGGGAGCCUCAUCUUGGCAUGAGAAAGAGAUGGCUUCUUCUAAGCCCACUGGCCGUGAUCCCAGGAUUAUAACACAUUCUGGCUCAAGUCCAGACUAUUUGUAGAACACAGGAGAUCCUCCAUGAGAGGUAGUAUAAUAUAGAGGAUAUGUGUGCUUACUAAGAGGCUGCCUGUCUGACCUUGGACAAGUUCUUUUUAUUUAUUUAUUUAUUUUUUAUAGAGACAAAGUCUCACUAUGUUGCUCAGGCUGGUCUUGAACUCCUGGCCUCAAGCGAUCCUCCCACCUUAGCCUCCCAAAGAGUUGGGAUUAUAGACAUGAGCCACUGCACCUGGCCGACCUUGGGCAAGUUCUUAAACCCUUCAAAGCCUCAUUUUUCUCCAAUCAUAAAAGGGAAAGAUGGUAAUAUUUUCCCCUCCAAAUUCUUGUAAGUAUUAAACAUUGUAUAUGUAUUUUGAACACGAUUAAGCUCUAAACACUUGUUAGGAAGCAGGAGUAGCAUUUGAAACAAACAGCUCUUUUCCCACAGGUCGGAUGCCCUCACAGAAUUGAGAUUAUGUACGUAAAACACCAGGUGCCUAACCCGGCACAGAGCAGGAGGGCUAAGCGUGACAUCCAGCACGUGGUCAGUGGAAUCCAGUAUUCCUACCCACCUCUCUAGUCUCCCCUCCACCCCUCUCCCUUUCAGAGGCACCAAGCUGCUUGUGGUCUUGUCUAUUCCCACUCCCUGCCUGACUGAACAUUUUCUCCACCUCCUGAUCAUCAGCAGCAGAAACUGGCUGCUCUUCCUCCUGGGUAGACAGCCAGACUGUAUUUCCCAGCUGCCCCUGCAGUGAGAUGUGGCCAUCGGAGCCAGCAUUGGCCAAUGGACUCUGCAUGGGAGUGACGCAUGCUGCCUCCAGGCUUGUCCCUAAAACCUCCCACGUGUCCUCCGCCUGCUCUUCCCACUUCCAAGGAGCACGGCAAUUGUGGAAGACCCAGAUUAGUGAUGGCAGAACCAUAGAUGGGAGGAACCUGGGUCCCUGACUUAAAGUAUCAUGGAUUUGGAUGUUCCCUUAGUGAGAAAUAAACUUCCAUUGUGUUUAAGCCUUUAUUUGUUUAUAGUUGGUUACAGCAACUGCCUUCUUUUAAUUAAAACACUCCUGCUGCUUCAUGUUGCUGGAAUGCUUGUAACCCUGCCCUGCUUCACCAGGGUAACUCCUACUUGGCCUUUAAGUUUAUCUCUGCUGUCACACCGUCCAGAAAGCCUUCUCCCAGCACCACAACCCCUCCACCAAGGGUUAGGUGUCUCCAGCAGAUGCUGCACAGCUGGCUGCCCUUUGCCCACCCUCCCCUUCUUUCUCAUAGAAUCCUAGGACUCCUAUGUAUCUAGAAGGAGUUGUGUGGUCCAGUGCUGGCCAAGAAGAUGUGAGAGCAAGUCGCUGGGUGG